GCUUAAUUUGACUCAACACUGGAAACUUCACCCAGCCUGGACAUGGACAGGAUUGACAUUGAAAGCUCUUUCCCAAUUCUGUGCAUGGUGGUGCAUGGCUGUUCUUAUUCAGUGGAGUAAUUUGCCUGGUUAAUUCCUAUAAUGAACAAAACUCUGGCAUGCUAACUAGUACAUGACUCCCAAGCUAGAAGCACCCAAAUACAUAAAGCAGUUAAUAACAAACAUAAAGGAACUAAUCAAUAAUAAUACAAUAAUAGUAGGGGAUUUUAUAUCACACUUACAUCAAUGGAAAGAUCAUCUAAACAGAAAAUCAACAAGGGAACAAUGGCUUUCAAAGACAUAAUGUA
rfam:Ailuropoda melanoleuca scaffold133_10, whole genome shotgun sequence.